rnacentral:rRNA from 1 species
GACGAACGCUGGCGGCGUGCUUAACACAUGCAAGUCGAACGGAAAGGCCCUGCUUUUGUGGGGUGCUCGAGUGGCGAACUGGUGAGUAACACGUGAGUAACCUGCCCUUGACUUUGGGAUAACUUCAGGAAACUGGGGCUAAUAUCGGAUAGGAGCUCCUGCUGCAUGGUGGGGGUUGGACAGUUUCGGCGGUUGGGGAUGGACUCGCGGCUUAUCAGCUUGUUGGUGGGGUAGUGGCUUACCAAGGCUUUGACGGGUAGCCGGCCUGAGAGGGUGACCGGCCACAUUGGGACUAAGAGACGGCCCAGACUCCUACGGGAGGCAGCAGUGGGGAAUAUUGCACAAUGGGCGGAAGCCUGAUGCAGCAACGCCGCGUGCGGGAUGACGGCCUUCGGGUUGUAAACCGCUUUCGCCUGUGACGAAGCGUGAGUGACGGUAAUGGGUAAAGAAGCACCGGCUAACUACGUG